rnacentral:rRNA from 1 species
GUCUAUGGCCAUACCACCCUGAACGCGCCCGAUCUUGUCUGAUCUCGGAAGCUAAGCAGGGUCGGGCCUGGUUAGUACUUGGAUGGGAGAUUAUAUUACUAAUCUAAUAUAAUAUAGUUA